AUGCAUAAAUGUGUUAUCAUCUGUUGUAUAUCAAAUGUUUCUAUGUGUGUAAUGUGUUAUAAUGUUACGCUUUUAUACUUUCUAGGUGGUUAUUAUAUUGUUUCCAUGGUUUCAAAGUGUCUUGAUUGGCUUAGUUUACAGUAGAAGUAUUAUCCUUGCCAGCCAAGAGGUUGGCAACUGUCAUGUUGAAACAAAUUGUCUGUUUGUAGAACACUGAGCAAAAUGGUACAUUAGGAUUUCUGUGGAAGGAAUGGUAGAUUAGGAAGUCUGUGCAAAUUAGGAAACAUCUAAAUAUUAAUCAAUUUUAUAAAUGUCGAGGUUACAACCACCUAGCAAUAAAAUGUCACUUUAAUAUUCCUUCAUGUUGUUGUUCAGAAAUAUGACCAGAAAGUGUUGGCUUUAAUGUAGAUGUGGAUUUGACUCUAAAGGUUGAAAAGCCUUAUCUAGGAAAAUCCUUUAAGAAAUUGAUUUAAACUAUUUAGUUAAUUGGCAAAAAUGUCAAAGCAAAAUUGAGAUCUA